AUGAACGCUGGCGGCGUGCUUAACACAUGCAAGUCGAACGCUGAAGCCCAGCUUGCUGGGUGGAUUAGUGGCGAACGGGUGAGUAACACGUGAGUAACCUGCCCUUAACUCUGGGAUAAGCCUGGGAAACUGGGUCUAAUACCGGAUAGGAGCGCCUACCGCAUGGUGGGUGUUGGAAAGAUUUAUCGGUUUUGGAUGGACUCGCGGCCUAUCAGCUUGUUGGUGAGGUAAUGGCUCACCAAGGCGACGACGGGUAGCCGGCCUGAGAGGGUGACCGGCCACACUGGGACUGAGACACGGCCCAGACUCCUACGGGAGGCAGCAGUGGGGAAUAUUGCACAAUGGGCGAAAGCCUGAUGCAGCGACGCCGCGUGAGGGAUGACGGCCUUCGGGUUGUAAACCUCUUUCAGUAGGGAAGAAGCGAAAGUGACGGUACCUGCAGAAGAAGCACCGGCUAACUACGUG
rnacentral:rRNA from 1 species